GGGCGUUUAGCUCAGUUGGUAGAGCGCCAGCCUUACAAGCUGGAUGUCAGAGGUUCAAGUCCUCUAACGCCCA
rnacentral:tRNA from 1 species